AUUGAACGCUGGCGGCAGGCUUAACACAUGCAAGUCGAGCGGAGAUGAGGUGCUUGCACCUUAUCUUAGCGGCGGACGGGUGAGUAAUGCUUAGGAAUCUGCCUAUUAGUGGGGGACAACAUUCCGAAAGGAAUGCUAAUACCGCAUACGUCCUACGGGAGAAAGCAGGGGAUCUUCGGACCUUGCGCUAAUAGAUGAGCCUAAGUCGGAUUAGCUAGUUGGUGGGGUAAAGGCCUACCAAGGCGACGAUCUGUAGCGGGUCUGAGAGGAUGAUCCGCCACACUGGGACGGAGCCACGGCCCAGACUCCUACGGGAGGCAGCAGUGGGGAAUAUUGGACAAUGGGGGGAACCCUGAUCUAGCCAUGCCGCGUGUGUGAAGAAGGCCUUAUGGUUGUAAAGCACUUUAAGCGAGGAGGAGGCUACUGAGACUAAUACUCUUGGAUAGUGGACGUUACUCGCAGAAUAAGCACCGGCUAACUCUGUGCCAGCCGCCGCGGUAA
rnacentral:rRNA from 1 species